rnacentral:rRNA from 1 species
UUUUCAAAUCAGUGAAAUUAAUCUCCCCGUGAAGAAGCGGGGAUACUCAUAUAAGACGAGAAGACCCCAUGGAGCUUCAAACCCAACUACACCCCUAGCUCUUAUAGCCCCACAACCCCCCUAGGCGCCGUGUGCUUGGUUUUAGGUUGGGGCGACCGCGGAGUACAAUAAAACCUCCACAAUGAAUGGGAACACCCCC